GAUACUGAGCACUAGGGGCUAGAUCACAUAAGACCAGUAGCUCAUAUAGGAAGCCUGAAUACUGGCAAUCAGUGUGCAAUGGGGGUGAUAUCAUAUGGCAACAAUGUCGCCACACACAGUGUAGGAUGUGGCUCAAGAAUGAAAUGGCUUGGUGACAGAUUACAUAGGGAAAAUUACAGCUGCCAUUUUCCACCAGGAUGUUCUUCAGGAGCCUCAUCUAAAGCUAGAGCUUUUCUUCAAUGGAGGAAUGACCUGUGUGUGUCUCCAUCACUGGGGAACCAAUGCUCUGCUCCGAUAGCAGUUGCCCAAACAAGCCUGAUAGAACUGGGAGCAUCAGGCCUUACCACUGAGGAGGUGACACGGUCUGCAUUUCUGAGGCAGGAACUAACUUGUCCUUCCUGGAUAGAAAGGAUGCACUGGAUGGUGAACACUGCAACAAAGCACUAACUCUCUCCGCUCUUCAUUUUCAUCAACAAAAUACAAAACUUUAAGCGGUUUCAUGCACGCCCACCUAUUCUGUUGAUGCAGCAGACAACAGGAUUUAAAACAUUCAGAAUCCUGCAUCUUACCACAAAGAGCCUUCAAUGGAUAAUACUCUACUAUUUCAAUAAUUUUCGAUCCAAAAUCCUUGCUUGCCAAACAACAUAACGGUCCUUCUUGUCAGUCAUGUCAGAGGCCCCAUCUGUACAAAUACCAACUAAUUGAGACCAAUCAAGCUUGACAUUUUCACUGUCACACUUUCAACACAUUUUUCUUAUGUCUUCAAAUGAGUCUGAGCUGGGAAUGGCAGAAUGAAGUGGGUGGAGGACAAGCAAUUUUCAACUAGAUCAAAAUUUGAAUCCAUCGGCCCAAACCAAACCACUGAAAUGAUCACCAUUGGAUCAGAAGCAUCAGAACGUGCAUCGGUUACCUGCAGAAAAUGUUUACAUGUGGCAGCUGGAAAAUGUAAUCUGUGCUGACACAUCAUUGGACAUCUCUAGCCUUCUCGUCGCUGUAUUAUGUGAAAGCCAGCAACCAUUUUCCUUCCUGCCUUUCGUUCAUUCUUUUGUUUGCAAUAAACUGUGCACGAUAAAAAUCGACA
rnacentral:lncRNA from 1 species